UACGGAGGGGGUUAGCGUUGUUCGGAAUUACUGGGCGUAAAGCGCGCGUAGGCGGAUUGGAAAGUUGGGGGUGAAAUCCCGGGGCUCAACCCCGGAACUGCCUUCAAAACUCCCAGUCUAGAGUUCGAGAGAGGUGAGUGGAAUUCCGAGUGUAGAGGUGAAAUUCGUAGAUAUCUGGAGGAAUACCGGAGGCGAAGGCGGCCAACUGGUGGAACAUUGACGCUAAGGUGCGAAAGCGUGGGGAGCAAACAGG
rnacentral:rRNA from 1 species